AACGAACGCUGGCGGCGCGCCUAACACAUGCAAGUCGAACGUGAAAGGGAGCAAUCCUGAGUAAAGUGGCGCACGGGUGAGAAACGCGUAGGUGACCUACCUUUGUGACCGGAAUAACCAGUCGAAAGAUUGGCUAAUACUGGAUAGAGCGCAAUUACCGUAGAGGUGAAUGCGGGAAAGGGCGGCUGUUGCACAGAGCAAUUUAAGUAGAAGGCUUAAGUGAUGUGUGCAGCAGCUGUUGCACUGAGAUGGGCCUGCGUCUCAUUAGCUAGUUGGUGAGGUAAUGGCUCACCAAGGCUAUGAUGGGUAGCUGGUCUGAGAGGACGAUCAGCCACACUGGAACUGAAACACGGUCCAGACUCCUACGGAGGCAGCAGUGGGAAUCUUGCGCAAUGGACGAAAGUCUGACGCAGCGACGCCGCGUGAGUGAAGAAGGCCUUCGGGUUGUAAAGCGUACUGU
rnacentral:rRNA from 1 species